rnacentral:rRNA from 1 species
CUACGGGAGGCACCAGUGGGGAAUAUUGCACAAUGGGCGCAAGCCUGAUGCAGCCAUGCCGCGUGUAUGAAGAAGGCCUUCGGGUUGUAAAGUACUUUCAGCGGGGAGGAAGGGAGUAAAGUUAAUACCUUUGCUCAUUGACGUUACCCGCAGAAGAAGCACCGGCUAACUCCGUGCCAGCAGCCGCGGUACUACGGAGGGUGCAAGCGUUAAUCGGAAUUACUGGGCGUAAAGGCACGCAGGCGGUUUGUUAAGUCAGAUGUGAAAUCCCCGGGCUCAACCGGGGAACUGCAGCUGAUACUGGCAAGCUAGAGUCUCGUAGAGGGGGGUAGAAUUCCAGGUGUAGCGGUGAAAUGCGUAGAGAUCUGGAGGAAUACCGGUGGCGAAGGCGGCCCCCUGGACGAAGACUGACGCUCAGGCGCGAAAGCGUGGGGAGCAAACAGGAUUAGAUACCCGGGUAGUC